GCAGCGCUGGGCUUUCGUGCUCAGCGAGGAUCCCAAC
rnacentral:other from 1 species